rnacentral:sRNA from 1 species
UAAACAUUGGACUUUUUUAGUUGCCUUCCCCUACAUGUAAAAACAAUAUAUAUAUACAUUUUUGCAGCCAUUUUGUGAAAUAAAUUCUAGAGUUGGAACUUAUUUACAAUGGCUGCCACUGGAUUUUAAUGUUUGUUUUUGAUAAUUAGAAAAAAAAUCUUCAAAUUAAAUAUUUGACAUUUAACAAUCUUCCCUAAAUCUCUCCACAUUAACUACACGGUUAGUUACUAAAAUUAAACUUCCAAAAUAUUUAAUAUCAUUUAAUUACUACACA